CCGAAGAUUUCAGGAGAGAAUGUUGUUUUGUUUUUCAUCAAAUUAUGAAAUACCAAAACCAUCACCGAAGGCGUAAAGACCCUAUAAUCGCUCAGGUAAAAGGACUGAAAUCGUAAU
rfam:Glycine soja cultivar W05 scaffold19471_2, whole genome shotgun sequence.